UGCAGUCGACGAUGGAAGCCCGUUCGGGGUGGAUUAGUGGCGAACGGGUGAGUAACACGUGGGCAAUCUGCCCUUCACUCUGGGACAAGCCCUGGAAACGGGGUCUAAUACCGGAUAUCACUUCCGCGGGCAUCUGCGGUGGUCGAAAGCUCCGGCGGUGAAGGAUGAGCCCGCGGCCUAUCAGCUUGUUGGUGAGGUAACGGCUCACCAAGGCGACGACGGGUAGCCGGCCUGAGAGGGCGACCGGCCACACUGGGACUGAGACACGGCCCAGACUCCUACGGGAGGCAGCAGUGGGGAAUAUUGCACAAUGGGCGAAAGCCUGAUGCAGCGACGCCGCGUGAGGGAUGACGGCCUUCGGGUUGUAAACCUCUUUCAGCAGGGAAGAAGCGAAAGUGACGGUACCUGCAAAAGAAGCGCCGGCUAACUACGUGCCAGCAGCCGCGGUAAUACGUAGGGCGCAAGCGUUGUCCGGAAUUAUUGGGCGUAAAGAGCUCGUAGGCGGCUUGUCACGUCGGGUGUGAAAGCCCGGGGCUUAACCCCGGGUCUGCAUUCGAUACGGGCAGGCUAGAGUGUGGUAGGGGAGAUCGGAAUUCCUGGUGUAGCGGUGAAAUGCGCAGAUAUCAGGAGG
rnacentral:rRNA from 1 species